AUCUGCCCUUUCCGCCAGCCCUGCAGAUAGAUGUGCAAAGAAGUCCCGCUCAUGCCCGUCCUCCUGCUUCUGCGUGUCAAAGCCACUGCAGAUGUGUAAGCACAUGUUCAUGUUCUUCUAAAGGCAAUGAAAUACAACAGCAUUUCAGUGUUUUGUUUCCUCUCUCAAGACUCAGGUCAGUGGAACUGGUCUAAGUAAUGCUCCCUCCAUUAGAUACUAAACAUGGCUCUCCCCAGAUGGCUUUACCAAGAAGCUGUUAGUUAGCACAGAAAUUUGUCUCCCUUCUUUCUCUUCUCUUUGAAGCAGGGUCAGGACUUCGCUAUGGCUCUCCGUUUGACUCGGAAGUCACGUCGGUCCUGUUGAAAGCUGCAGAUGAUCUAGUAAUGAAGUGAUGUGGCAGAAUGGUAUGAGGAAACACCAUACUGCGUGUGCUGCCGUCUUUCCAGUGUGGCACAAAGUCCUGACUAUUUAUGGUUAUUAAAAGUCCCAGCACACCUUUUGAAAAGUAAGGCUCUUAAUCCCCGUGUGCUGGCCAAAAUCUAUUUUCAGUGAUACCACUCUGGCUAUCAGCAUUUCCUGUAUUGUUCCAGAUGGAGAUAGUGUUGGCCAUUGCAUCCUGUUCCAAACUGCGUGCUGGGCUCCUCUCUGUUUUGGAACAGCUGAUAUUUUCCAGAAACAACCAUGCUGCAGUGGUGUGUGAAGUGAUCUCUAUAUAUCCCUCACUUGUCUCACAGGAAUGGAAUGAGGAUUAAUCAAUUAUGACCGAAUCAUGAUCCCACUGAAGUCAAAAGAAGGGUUUUUUCCAUUGGCAUCAUGGGGGCCAGGGUGGGCUUCUGUGUGGAUAUUAUUGUUUUGAGAUACCUGCACGUAAAAACAAACGAAAAUGCAAAGCAUUACCUUUUUGAAGGUGUCUGUGUAGUGAGAAUUCCUUUAGCUGGAAAGGAAAAUGCAUUUUGAAGGCUGUUUCCUCAAGAGUCUAGUUACUUGUCACAACAGGCGUUACUGUGCAUGAGGAAAUCCCAGUUCGUUGAAUGUGGCUUUAAGCAUGUGGUGUUGGUCGGCUGGCAUUUGUGGCUUUGCAUGUCCUAUGCAUCCAAAACAUGCUUUGUUACACUUUCAGGGCUGGUUCCUGCUCUUUUCCCAAUGCAGCGGAUGGUGUGGAAUUGUAUCUCAGAAGCCAUGUUCUUAAAACCAUCAAUUAUUCAGCUUUAAAUAUUGGAAGAAAGUUGAAUACUGAGUGACAAUAGCUGCAGGUUAUUCUCAUUGACCAAAUGUUAAUUCUUCUGGGCAAACAAACAGAGGAUCUAAAAAAAGAGCAACUCUGGCUAGAUUUCUAAGAGACUGCAAAAUAUUUCCUGCUUAGAUCUUCUGUCACAUGCCACUUACGAUGUCACAUUUCAAACUGUAAAUCAAUUUACAAGUUGGACAAGUGAUAUCACUGAAAAACAUUUUUGCAGGAUUGCCUAACUUCUUCCAUGCAAAUAUAAUAAUAGUACAUCUCUCGUGCAAAUAUAGUAAAGAGUGGUCAUGGACUAUUUUGGGAAAAGCAUAGUCACCAGAUGGACAUAGAGAGAAUAUUCAGUCAGCCACUGAGGAGCAGAAGAACAGUAAUAAAUAUUAUUAAAGGCAGGUAUGGAUGAAGAUUAACCUAUUCCUGCAGGAAAACUAUCAAAUUAAACUUAGAAAAAUGUUGGUACAUUAACAACAUAAAUCAUGUGCUCUUCUGCAAAUGAACAGUAAAUGAAAAAUAGAGGAUAUAUGUCAUCCAUACUUUAUAGUGUUGACUUCAUUUUCUCAAGUAUGUAGAAGAGGUUUUGAUGUGUGUAUAUUAAUAUUUCUCUAUUGGUUAAAGAUAAAUUUAAAGCAAAACAUAGGUCAAAGCUUUUCUGGAAAUAAGUGUUCCACUCUGUCUUCCACCAAGUCCCAUGGAGUUAAACUGAAUUCUGUAACUGAGUGCUUGGUGUAAUCUCCCAUAGUAGUGCACUGUGAUCCUUCCCCUGGCUCCAAAGCCCUAACUGAACUAUGGCUGAAAAACUUCAUAUGAUAUUAAUGCAUGGCUGCGGCUGCCUGCCAUCCUUUCGGUACUUCGUCAAAACCCAGAGAUAAGAGAACAACAACAGUGUGCCACACUUCAGAAAGAGGAAUAUCACAUCCAUUUGGAAGAAUAGAGGGAAUUUCAGACAAAGGGAGCACACUUACAGAAACCCAAAUAUGAGCAGAAAACUGGGUUAACUUGCUGUCUGCCAGACCAAAUGUCUCAGGGUCCUUGGGAAAUGGGACCACAACUCUGUCUCUUCCUAGAAGACAGUUCUGAAAAGAGCAUAAAUCAAAUGGGAAGACCUUACAAACAAAAGCAAUAUACAGAAUUUUUUAUCAUGCGAAUUUCACAGACAAUUAUGCUUCCAUAAGCUUAAGCUUUUUUUAUAAUUGGGGAUAAAAAUGCACUCUUGAAUGCAAGAUUGAAAAAGAUUAAAACAUUAGAAAAUGCUAAGGCAACUGCAGUUCCAAUUUCCAAUUUUCAUCUUAUCAUGACACAUGUAGUAAGUGCAUUACCCCAUUUUGAUCCAAUUCCAUUAGAUAUUUGUAAGUCACAUACGGCACUGGUUCAUAAAACACAGCUUUCGGAUACUCACCGA